GCCCUGCCGCGGGGCGCCGCGGGAGAUGCAGUCCGGCCGGGCACCGACACCCGGGGAGGCGCCGAACAGGCAGUCUUGGUCCGCACAAGCCGCCUCAGGAGCCGCUUCCCCUUUCGAAAGGCCCCGUCACAGUAGCCGCGGGCCGGCACCUCCCGCUCCGCUCCAAACCGAACCGAACUCCUCGGCCGCGCCAACGUUGUGAGGGACCCGUUCGUUGGUUUAGCCAAAAUGCCUCCCUUGAAAAUCCCUCCCGCAUUCGCGCCCCGUUUUCGGAAAGGCUCGUGUGGCUCGGCGAGGAAGGAGGGUUUUGAUACAGUUGCACAGGCACAGAAGUUACAAAGGCAUCAGUGGAAUUUGUUAUACUGUUUUAAAUGAAAACUCAAUGAAAACUCUGUGCUGAGAAUCGCAGAAGUACAGUGUGACCUCACAAUAAUGCCUGUGAUCAUGGUGUUCUCCAAGAAUAUCUCUUUAAAUGCAUGAUGGGAGUUGGUUUAUUUUGUUUUUGCAAGGAAACAGGUGUUUUGUGAAGUAACAAGGUGGAAAAUGCUUGCCCCUCAUUUCACCUUUGGUGGGCACAUGAAUGAUGCAUGCAGGAUAACGUCAUGUUCUCAGGAGAGCGAGGAGCUGUGUCAGCUUCCCUGGGCACUCCUCGUAACCUUUGGCACCUGCUUGCCAGCAUCCCUCUGUUCCACUCCUGGCCUUUCCUGAGCUGAAGGGAUUCCUCACUUCAGAAUGUGAAAUGGAUUUUCAUUCAUUGUCUGUCAGGUUGACAAGGUAAAAUCAUUAAUUGCUAUAACUAAAUCAAGGUUAGAGUUUAUUAAAGCAUUUGGAUGGUGUAGUAUUGCCAGUACAGCAAGUAAUUCCACACAAAAAUCAAAUGAUGGUUCAGCUUCAGUAAGGAUUUCUACGGAAUAAUGGCACACCAGAUUCUUGUGGUUAUUAUAACCUCACCUAUCAGUCUUCCUGUGGGCUCCUUUUAUUUUCUCCAUGUUAGUGUUACUCAUUCAGAAAUUAUUACAUCAUAUUAGUUAAUAAUGUCUUACUCAAGCACCUGACAUUUCUUUUCUGCAGUCACUGGUUUUAGCCAAUUUUGUUGCAGGGAACAGGCCAAAAAGCUGCUCUUGUGGUUUAUCCACAGGCAAAAGGGAACUACUAUUUCAUGCAGUAGAAAACAUGCAAAUUUCUUUAUUGGUAUUUGUAGAUCAGGAUUUCUGCAUUCAGCCAAGGUAUCUGACAGGAUACUUGUUUAGGACUGGGUGCAUAAUGUUCAAAAUUGAAAUGGUUUCCUUCACACAACUGCCUUUAGGUGAAAAGAGUCGAUUCUUAUCAGACUGUCCCAUUUAAUCUCUAAUCCUGAUUAACAACUGAUUUUGUGAUGCUCAUUUAGUAUGAUAGUAAGUGCUAUCAGUCAUAUUAUAGCUUUUUCAAUUAAUUUAAUAAUUUCCCUAAGGAAUACACAUACAGCAAAUAGUUUCUCUGAAUGUUGGCAGCUCUUCUAAAAUGUUUCAAUUAAAUCACGUUUUCACCCUUCUGAUAUUGCUCUGAAUUUUAAUUAUUUUCCAUUGCAGACUACUGGUUUAAUGAUGACCUGAAUACAUUUCUUAAAAACUAACUGUGGGUGUGGCUGCAUACAGCAAGGGUUUGUUCCUUGUGAACUGGUUAUUGCCCACUCUUUAUGGCUGUUUUCUGCAAGCACUUAGACCUUAGAGGUCAGAUCAGGACAACACUGAGCACUCUCACUGCAGACAUUUUGUACCUCACAGAAAAAGCAAUCUAGAUGAAAAUACAGAGUGACAUUUGCACGUAUUAUGAUUAGACCAUGCAUUCUUAAAUUGUCAAUUAUGAAAUGCAUUGUUACAGGAAAAAAAACUUCUUCCUUUCUAGUUUCAAAUGCAAGUCAUGCAAUUUAUUUGAAGGUUGCAAGAAGUCCUUACAAUAUGGGAAACAUUUAGAAGAUAUAAAUUUUUUCUCUGGAAGUUUUGCUUUUUUUUUAAAGUAAUGCUGAAUUUUUCUACUUUGCCUUUUUCUUUACUCUGGUUUCUUCUACAACCUGUUUCACACUCCCAUAUUACCUGAACACACUUCCCCCUCUUUCUUUCCCCAUCAGACUCAUUGUUCCACAUUUUCUUCCCGAAUCAAGUGUCUAUCAUGUCACUUUUUUCCCAAAUAUUUGCUGGCCUGCACUUCCAAAGGUCCAAAAUUUUUCCUUUCUUACUCCUUUAAGAUAGAAGAUUUUUUCUAUCAAAAUCAAGGAUCCUCUUUAGCAACAAAAGCAACUGUGUUUGUGAGCACAAGCAGUGAGCAGCUUGGAUUAGCCAACUGCUAUAAUUCUGGGUUCAUUGAUGAUAAGAAGAGAUUCAGAAGCAAUACAAAAAGCAGCAGCACUUCAAACUGCCAGUGUGAGAAGAAGGUUGAUUAAACUAGUGCCCCUGACUUUUCCUCAUCUAGCUUAUUUCUUAAAAUUAGGGGACAGAGUUAGGACCUCAAAUCAGGGCAAAUUAAAAUAAAAGGAAGCUUUCUUUAUCACAGUGCAGCCUACUUACUGUCAACAAACAAAAUGCAGAAAGGAAAUGUCAAUAGACAGUUGCAAUGAUAUUUUCAAGAACCUAGCAGCAAGAGGAGAUCAUUCAGGUCCUGAUGAGUUCCAGCAGGAAGUUCCACUUGGGCCUUUUGAGGGCAGCAGAAAAAGCAGCUUAAAAAACCACUUGAUUGCACUCUGCAGCAUUAAUUUCUGUCAUUGCUCCAGAAGAUCAGACAUGGUCAAAGCUACACACCCCAGCAUGUGUUCAACACUGGGAGGUGGUCUGAAGCUGAUUCUCCAGACCACCAGUCUUUGGUUUAACUGAGGUGAAACUUCAAUUCCACAUUUGUAGGAGCAGAAUCUGUAACAGCAUCUAAAGAAAAAUUUAAAUGGGUCUUUGAUCAAAUUAAAGGUAGUGUUUUUAUCAGCAUGGAAUAACUUAUAUUUGGAAACUUUUGCCCUCCAGACAGAUAUGUCCAGCUACAUCACUGCUAUAGAUUAGAAGGAAUCCUUGAAGGAACAUACUCCUCUUAGCAGAACAUUGGAAUUUUCAGCUAUGUUAGUAUAAACUCAGCUUCAGACAGGGUAUAAAUCUGAUCAUUACAUUUAAUCCUACCCUAGCAUUAAAUAUGAAUCAUGACUAAUGGGUGUGUCUCGGGAUAAGGGCCUGUGCAUUCCCUACACAGAAAUUUCUGACUGUGAUCGUUAUCACAAGCAAUAAACACCAGGUUAUAAAUACCUCAGCUGCAGAGCAGAGCUGCAUGGCUGAAGCCUUGUGCAGCUGCUUUUGAGUCAAGCAAGGACUCUCCCUGCAGCUCCACAUCCCACUUUCCUCUCCUGCUGCCUUCCUUUUGGCCUCCCCUGACCAUGCUCUGUUCUGCUCUGCUCUGUGUGGGCUCUGCUGUGCUCCACAGGUGCCCCCGAGAGCUUUGAAGGAGACUCUGAGCUAGAAUAAGGUGCCAGGAAUAUUUUGUUGCUUUGGAAAUAUUUUUGUUUCCCUUGCUACCUGUCUUAAAGAGUUGACACUGUCUGAGUUCUUCAAUGUAUUUGCUGCCUGAGCCCAUUCCCAGAACUCAGAUGCUGUAGGUUGGGCUAAAAGCUGGGAUAAGGUGAUUGAUUUUUUAUCCCUCCUCCUGUUACAAACACUAACUUGGUUAUUACUGCCAGGAGGACACCUGAGAUUCUUUGGACUGUGAUGAGAACUCCCUCUUUAUUGGCAUUUUUAAUAAGAGAUAGGACUUUUUAGAGAAGGUGCUUUCCAAGGCUGGGGGGAAAAAAAAGAAUUAUAAGUAAGGUCUCUGAAAGUUGGAACUACAUUUAAGGAACUUGACAGACCUUUCAUGUUUCUCAGCUGGGGUGGCAUAAGCUUAUUACAGGGUAUGUUUCACUCCUAAUUUGCAGGAAGACAAAAGAACCUUCAAUUCCUGGUUUUUGCAUUCAAGUAGAGGAUAUGAGCAGACUGACCAGAAAAGUUUCUUUCCCCAGUUCAUGUACUCCACUGACAUAUGCAAUAGGCAAAAAAAAAAAAAAAAAAAAAAAGAA